UCACCAGAGAGCAGCAGCUAAUGCUGAUGUUCACUCAGCUAUUUAAUGUACCCUUUCUGGGGAAAUAAGGCAGGGGACAGAAGUGGAGAGGGAUGAAAAGUGCCAUGUGUCAGCUAAGGAUGCCAUAGACCUGUAAGCUUUUACCCUCUCUCAGCUUUACAGGAUGGUGAUGUUGAGAACCAAAUACUAAGUUUUGUUAUUCCCUUUUCUUCAUCAGGCUGAAAAGCAGGCAAGAAAAGAGCAGGAAAAGCAAGCAGAAUUGGACUACAGUGCUCGGAGAGAGGCUGCUUUUCAUCAGGAUCGAGCGUUUUGGAGAUGAAGACAAAAUAUAUUUUACCACUAGAAAAGCAUCUACAAAGGAGUGAGAAGGAGCCACUCUCUUUCCAAGUUCCGUGUGCCUGCAACACCAAUCAGUGCCCAACAGCAGAAGCUAACUGUGGACCAAGUUACAAGACACAUGCUAUUGCUAGAACCUGCCUAUAACUCAAGCUCAAGAAACAAGUGCCAUAGCUUGCAACUGUACUGUAACUACUUUUAUUAUGGAACAAAGCAGUACAUUCUUUUCAGAAAGUCAAGAGGUAACAACCAAAGGUAAACUAUCAAUUCAUCUGUACUGUACUCCUUGAAUAUUGCUGGGCCUCCGGGCUUAACUCAAACCUUCUGUUUUGACUUGGGGAAAAAAAAAAUCUUACUGAGCAAAUAAAAUUGGGUACAUCUGUCUCA
rnacentral:lncRNA from 1 species